GGGUCAAUGUGUUGGUCGUGCCUCGGUACGAACUGGUAUUAUUGGUUCCUACCUUCUGAAGAACCGCGAUGUCAUUAAUUUGGUGUCGUGGGGAAUCAGGACUGUUACUUUGAAAAAAUUAGAGUGUUUAAAGCAAGCUAACGCUUGAAUACAUUAGCAUGGAAUAAUGAAAUAGGACGUUCGAUCCUAUUUUGUUGGUUUCUAGGAUUGACGUA
rnacentral:rRNA from 1 species